rnacentral:rRNA from 1 species
GUGCACCAGUCGAGAAACCUCCGCAAUGCGGGAAACCGCGACGGGGGACCCCGAGUGCCGUGGCAACGCCACGGCUUUUCCGGAGUGUAAAAAGCUCCGGGAAUAAGGGCUGGGCAAGGCCGGUGGCAGCCGCCGCGGUAAUACCGGCGGCCCGAGUGGUGGCCGCUAUUAUUGGGCCUAAAGCGUCCGUAGCCGGGCCCGUAAGUCCCUGGCGAAAUCCCACGGCUCAACCGUGGGGCUUGCUGGGGAUACUGCGGGUCUUGGGACCGGGAGAGGCGGGGGGUACCCCUGGGGUAGGGGUGAAAUCCUAUAAUCCCAGGGGGACCGCCAGUGGCGAAGGCGCCCCGCUGGAACGGGUCCGACGGUGAGGGACGAAGGCCAGGGGAGCAAACCGGAUUAGAUACCCCCGUAGU